AUUGAACGCUGGCGGCGUGCUUCGCACAUGCAAGUCGAACGGUAACAGGUUAAGCUGACGAGUGGCGAACGGGUGAGUAAUGCAUCGGAACGUGCCCGAUCGUGGGGGAUAACGCAGCGAAAGCUGCGCUAAUACCGCAUACGAUCUGAGGAUGAAAGCGGGGGACCGUAAGGCCUCGCGCGAUCGGAGCGGCCGAUGUCAGAUUAGGUAGUUGGUGGGGUAAAGGCCCACCAAGCCGACGAUCUGUAGCUGGUCUGAGAGGACGACCAGCCACACUGGGACUGAGACACGGCCCAGACUCCUACGGGAGGCAGCAGUGGGGAAUUUUGGACAAUGGGCGAAAGCCUGAUCCAGCAAUGCCGCGUGCAGGAAGAAGGCCUUCGGGUUGUAAACUGCUUUUGUACGGAGCGAAAAGGUCCUUUCUAAUACAAGGGGCUCAUGACGGUACCGUAAGAAUAAGCACCGGCUAACUACGUGCCAGCCGCCGCCGUAA
rnacentral:rRNA from 1 species